UACGUAGGGACCGAGCGUUGUCCGGAUUCAUUGGGCGUAAAGAGCUCGUAGGCGGCUGUUCAAGUCGAACGUGAAAACUCGGAGCUCAACUCCGAGCCUGCGUUCGAUACUGGACGGCUAGAGUCUGGUAGGGGGAUCUGGAAUUCCUGGUGUAGCGGUGGAAUGCGUAGAUAUCGGGAGGAACACCAGUGGCGAAGGCGAGUCUCUGGGAUGAUGCUGACGCUGAGGCGCGAAAGCCAGGGGAGCAAACGGG
rnacentral:rRNA from 1 species